GGGGGUAUAGCUCAGUGGUAGAGCAUUUGACUGCACAAUUACCUGGGUUCAAGCCCCCAGUUCCCACA
rnacentral:tRNA from 1 species